AAUAACAACAAAGUUGUCAUAAUAAAAAUACAUAAAUAAAAGCUGAGGAAUUUAUGCCACAAUAACAACGGGGCAGCCCAAGCGGCAGCGGCAGCAGCAGCAGCAGCAGCAACAGCAACAGCGGAAGCAGCAGCACCACCGGAAGUAGUUCCAGAACAAGUUGGAAAUCUGGACAUAUUUGUGAUUCGGUGCGUUACUGCUGUUGCCUGAUUUCCAAGGCUCAUACGAUCGGAAUUUAUACUCUCUCUGCAUAAGCGCACCAUCAGAAGUAAAGUGGGAUUUCAAAAUGCUAAACACUAUUGUUUUAAACGCCGAUAUUCCUUUACUGAUGAAAAUUCUCAUAUGUCAGUGGGGAUCUGACACACUUAGGCCGGCUUCGGCUCUGGCUCGUCUUUGGCUCCUCUUUGGCUCGUUGUGGUAAAAACUGACGGCAAGGCGCCGAAGGUGUGACCACCAGAAAGCCAGACAGACGACAGGCACAUAUUUCAGAGCCGGGCAGGGCAUCGCUUACUUGGCCAUUGGCCUAAUGAGAAAUUAUGGCCGCAUCUACUCGUACGAGAAGCUCGGGCACUCCGGACGUAUGGCCCGGCCCGGCCCGGCUCGGCCUACACUUUGCGGCUGCUGGCCAAUGCCAAUCUGUCCCUGCCCAGCCCUGUCCUGCCCUGCCCUGUUGUCUGCCCUGCCAUGCCCUGCCCUGUAGUCUGCUCUAAUUAUGCUAACCACUUGCGCAAACUUGGACUUGGGGACAGCGGCCCGAAGAAGUUUCCGAGCUCUGACGGGGGCCACAUCAAAGCAAAAGAUUUAAUUAAAAAUUUGAUAACUUGGUCGCUCUGCGCUGCUGGCCAUCAUCUGCAGAUUCCAUCAUCAGAAAUUUAAUCAAGACUAAAAGUUGGACCAGGCCAGAGCCAGAGCCAGUCCCCACUCGGAUAAUGAGAAUCUACCCAUACGUAAGUAAUUUGCAUAUAUCAAAUACGUAUAAUCGCCGGUGUUCUUAUAGCCUCCUCAGAGGUAGGCCAAAAAAAAGUUCCAAAAUAAAUUGUUUACUGUUACGGAAAUGUAA